CGCGAGGGACCGAGAGAGAGAGGCGGCGGCGGCGGCGGCGAGAGGAAGCGGCCCAGGUCCAGGCUGCCAGGUGAGCGACGCCCUCGGCCGCAAGGCGUGGCCCCUCCUCCUCCCCCCCAAGAGGUGCGGGGCCCCCCCCCAAUGAUGAACCCGAUCCGAAACACAGCUGGAAUUACCGUCAGACGCCUCCGCUGAACUCUAGGCGGCUUGCCUCAGGGAAGGGGAACAGUCACAAAAAGCUGACAAAUAUGGUUAAGGCCACCAUGAUGAGAAUGCGUGGAAGCCACAGUUUACAAGCUCUCGACUACUUCUAGUGGUGUCGCUAUGUAGGAGUAGGAGAUCAACUCUUCAGUCUUCGGCUGGGCAAUGGAGUAAACAGCAGAAGAUGGUGGACUUCGAAGCAUCAGGGGAAAGCCUUGGCCCCUUUUGGAGCAGGAUGUGCCAGCCGUGGGACUUGUUUUGCUUGAAAGAGCUUCUCUAGGCCUUGAAUGGAACUGCCCAGUGAUACGUGCUUCAGUCCCAAGCAAGUGGGAACCAGAGAACUUCUUCCAAAAAGGAGCGGAGCAGCGAGUGUGGGUCUCUUGUCCUCCCCCAGGAUAAGACACGGAUGUGGCAAGCAGGCCGGUCUGGGGCCAGUUUCCUCUUCUCAGAACUGGAAACAUUGGCUGUUGUGGGGGGGGUGGCGAUGCUCCCUCUUUUGUUAGUACAAUUGUUUGUAUUAACUGCCGCAAACUAAUAAACGGCUCAACUGAA